rfam:Ophiophagus hannah scaffold2002.1, whole genome shotgun sequence.
CCAAAGGCUCUUAUUAGAGCCACCUACAUCCUUUAAGAAAGAGCUG